UUGUAAUUUCGAGACCGGUCUACUGGUCGUGUCUUUGUACGUACUGGUUUUAUUGGUUUCUCCUUUCUGACGAACUAUAAUGCCAUUAAUUUGGUGUUAUAGGGGAAUCAGGACUGUUACUUUGAAAAAAUUAGAGUGUUUAAAGCAGGCUCACGCUUGAAUACAUUAGCAUGGAAUAACGGAAUAGGACGUUUGAUUUAUUUUGUUGGUUUCUAGGAUCGACGUAAUGAUUAAUAGGGAUAGUUGGGGGCGUUAGUAUUCAAUUGUCAGAGGUGAAAUUCUUGGAUUUAUUGAAGACUAACUACUGCGAAAGCAUUUGCCAAGGAUGUUUUCAUUAAUCAAGAACGAAAGUUAGGGGAUCGAAGACGAUCAGAUACCGUCGUAGUCUUAACCAUAAACUAUGCCGACUAGGGAUCGGAUGAUGUUAAUUUUUAAUGACUC
rnacentral:rRNA from 1 species